GCGGGUGUGGCCAAGUGGUAAGGCAUUAGCUUCCCAAGCUAAGAUCGCCGGUUCGAAUCCGGUCACCCGCU
rnacentral:tRNA from 1 species